AUUGAACGCUGGCGGCAGGCUUAACACAUGCAAGUCGAACGAGUGGCGGACGGGUGAGUAAUGCUUGGGAAUCUAGCUUAUGGAGGGGGAUAACUACGGGAAACUGUAGCUAAUACCGCGUACCAUAGGAGGAGCCCACGUGGGAUUAGGUAGUUGGUGGGGUAAAGGCUCACAAAGCCGACGAUCCCUAGCUGGUCUGAUAGGAUGACCAGCCAUACUGGGACUGAGAGACGGCCCAGACUCCUACGGGAGGCAGCAUUGGGGAAUAUUGCGCAAUGGGGGCAACCUGACGCAGCCAUGCCGCGUGAAUGAAGAAGGCCUUCGGGUUGUAAAGUUCUUUCGGUAGCGAGGCGUUAACUACAGAAGAAGCACCGGCUAACUCCGUGCCAGCCGCCGCGGUAAUAC
rnacentral:rRNA from 1 species